CCCAGGGCUCCUCUUUUUGAAGUCCAAACUGAUGACUGGGAGUGCUUCUGCUCUGUCCUCUGGGAUCCAUCACAUGCUGAUUGUGCUGUUCCUCAGGAGCUGGAAACUGAUAAAGUGUUGAAGCAGGUUGAGUAUAUUAAGAAGCUGAGGCAUCGGAUAGUUGCUAAACGGCGCAGACUUCAUCAGACCAGGAGUGAUGGUUCAGGAGACACUACCCGAGUUGUGACAAAAAAAUAGAGUUCACCGCUUGGCAAUUUUGGCAACUGGAAUAUACCGUCAAAUAUAUUCUUGUAUAUUCAGUUUUUAAAAUCCAAAGAUAAAAAUUUUCGAGAUAUACCUCCAUCAGAGUGAACAUCCAUUAUAAUUGUAGUGAGGGGAAUCAAUAUGCAAUAUAUGAGCUGCAGGCAUUUGUGCCUUGGACAUGUUUGGAUCA